rnacentral:rRNA from 1 species
ACGCUACGCGGCUAUAACUGCAGUGAACGGUGCUUCGGGCAUAGUGGCGCACGGGUGCGUAACACGUAUGCAACCUACCUUACAUUGGGGGAUAGCCUUUCGAAAGGGAGAUUAAUACCGCAUAACACAGUGAGUUGGCAUCAGCUUAUUGUUAAAGAUUUAUCGAUGUAAGAUGGGCAUGCGUCCAAUUAGUUAGUUGGCGAGGUAACGGCUCACCAAGACGAUGAUUGGUAGGGGAACUGAGAGGUCAAUCCCCCACACUGGCACUGAGAUACGGGCCAGACUCCUACGGGAGGCAGCAGUAGGGAAUAUUGGGCAAUGGACGCAAGUCUGACCCAGCCAUGCCGCGUGCAGGAAGACGGCCCUCUGGGUUGUAAACUGCUUUUAUAUAGGAAGAAAGAAUCCUUGCGAGGAUAGUUGACGGUACUAUAAGAAUAAGCACCGGCUAACUCCGUGCCAGCAGCCGCGGUAAUACGGAGGGUGCAAGCGAUGUCCGGAUUUAUUGGGUUUAAAGGGUGCGCAGGUGGUUUAUUAAGUCAGUGGUGAAAGACGGUCGCUUAACGAUUGCAGUGCCAUUGAUACUGGUAGACUUG